GGUGAGGUAAUGGCUCACCAAGGCGACGACGGGUAGCCGGCCUGAGAGGGUGACCGGCCACACUGGGACUGAGACACGGCCCAGACUCCUACGGGAGGCAGCAGUGGGGAAUAUUGCACAAUGGGCGCAAGCCUGAUGCAGCAACGCCGCGUGAGGGACGAAGGCCUUCGGGUUGUAAACCUCUUUUAGUAGGGAAGAAGCGAAAGUGACGGUACCUGCAGAAAAAGCACCGGCUAACUACGUGCCAGCAGCCGCGGUAAUACGUAGGGUGCAAGCGUUAUCCGGAAUUAUUGGGCGUAAAGAGCUCGUAGGCGGUUUGUCACGUCUGCUGUGAAAACUGGAGGCUCAACCUCCAGCCUGCAGUGGGUACGGGCAGACUAGAGUGCGGUAGGGGAGAUUGGAAUUCCUGGUGUAGCGGUGGAAUGCGCAGAUAUCAGGAGGAACACCGAUGGCGAAGGCAGAUCUCUGGGCCGUAACUGACGCUGAGGAGCGAAAGCAUGGGGAGCGAACAGGAUUAGAUACCCUGGUAGUCCAUGCCGUAAACGUUGGGAACUAGAUGUAGGGACCAUUCCACGGUUUCUGUGUCGCAGCUAACGCAUUAAGUUCCCCGCCUGGGGAGUACGGCCGCAAGGCUAAAACUCAAAGGAAUUGACGGGGGCCCGCACAAGCGGCGGAGCAUGCGGAUUAAUUCGAUGCAACGCGAAGAACCUUACCAAGGCUUGACAUAUACCGGAAAAGUUCAGAAAUGUUCUCCCCGCAAGGUCGGUAUACAGGUGGUGCAUGGUUGUCGUCAGCUCGUGUCGUGAGAUGUUGGGUUAAGUCCCGCAACGAGCGCAACCCUCGUUCUAUGUUGCCAGCACGUAAUGGUGGGAACUCAUAGGAGACUGCCGGGGUCAACUCGGAGGAAGGUGGGGAUGACGUCAAAUCAUCAUGCCCCUUAUGUCUUGGGCUUCACGCAUGCUACAAUGGCCGGUACAAAG
rnacentral:rRNA from 1 species